CCGCUGACUUUUAAGCAUAUCAUAGCGGGGAGGAAAAGAAACUAACAAGGAUUCCCCUAGUAACUGCGAGUGAAGCGGGAAAAGCUCAAAUUUAAAAUCUGAGGGUCCUUGCGGCCUUCCGAGUUGUAAUCUAGAGAAGUGCUAUCCGCGCUGGACCGUGUACAAGUCUCCUGGAACGGAGCGUCAUAGAGGGUGAGAAUCCCGUCUUUGACACGGACUACCAGGGCUUAUGUGAUGCGCUCUCAAAGAGUCGAGUUGUUUGGGAAUGCAGCUCUAAAUGGGUGGUAAAUUCCAUCUAAAGCUAAAUAUUGGCGAGAGACCGAUAGCGAACAAGUACCGUGAGGGAAAGAUGAAAAGAACUUUGGAAAGAGAGUUAAACAGUACGUGAAAUUGUUGAAAGGGAAACGCUUGAAGUCAGUCGCGUUGGCCAGGAAUCAACCUUGCUUUUGCUUGGCGUAUUUUCUGGUUAAUGGGUCAGCAUCAAUUUUGACCGGUGGAUAAAGGUCAGGGGAAUGUGGCAUCUUCGGAUGUGUUAUAGCCUCUGGUCGCAUACAUCGGUUGGGAUUGAGGAACUCAGCACGCCGCAAGGCCGGGUUUUUAACCACGUACGUGCUUAGGAUGCUGGCAUAAUGGCUUUAAUCGACCCGUCUUGAAACACGG
rnacentral:rRNA from 1 species